rnacentral:rRNA from 1 species
UUUUUUUUUUUACUGAAAGGACCCAGUAUUUGGUCAUUGUUUCACAAUUGUAACACUGAAAUGACAAUAAUGCGUAACGGCUACCCCAUUCAAGGAAGGCAGCAGGCAUGCAAAUUACCCACUCCUGGCACGGGGAGGCAGUGACGAAAAAUAACGACGCAGGACUCUGUUGAGGCCCCGCGAUCAGAAUGAGUACACUUGUCAAAAUUUACCUUGUUUUUUCUUUGUUUUUGCAUUGAGCUAUGUACAUUUAAAAAA